UCUAGGGGGGGGCAGGGGGUGGCCAGGGCCACCCCUGGGACGCCAUUGUCCACCCUACUGGCCACCCUUGAUUCGACAAGUAAUUAAUAAAAAAAUAUAUUUUUAAAAAUAAAUAAAUAAAUAUACAAUAAUAACAACAGUAUAAGACCAAUAAUAGGUAAUUAUCAGGUAAUCAUUCAAGUUCGUCAACCCAACAACAAACAAGAGAAAACUGUCAAUCCAUGGUGAUCGCUUAUUUAUCGUGAAAGAUCUGGCAACCCCGCACCAGCGAUGCUGCUGACAGAGAUAUCUCUGAUGCUGAGCAGCACUGUCACCUGUAGUUCCUUCACGAGAGACCGCAUCCACUAACUGCCUGGACAGUCUAAUUUGGACAAUAAGUGAGUGACAUUAAGAUGAAGAGAAGAAACGAUAUUGAGAGCUUCUUUAUCAAGAAAAAAAAGAGUCAGUCAGCUACAGCCAGUACCAGCACCAGUGCAGAUGCCCACACAAGCCAGCAGCCUAGGGAUAGUGUUGAUGAGCAGUCCACUACCCCAAUACAAGAUGUUGACCAGCCACAUUUGGAGGAGGAGGAGACGGACUGUGAAUCUGUGUUGUCUGGAUCUCCACCUACUGAGCAUGGUAUGUCAGGUUCAGAUGUCAUUCAUGAAGUUGGUGUCUACUCUCUCAUACUUCAGUUAUUUAAAAAUGGCCAAUUAUGCAUAUGUAUAUGUGAAUGCAUAGCAUUUAACCAGAUUACACUGCACUUUCAAUUAAAAGCCUGGCACAUUAAAAUAACUUAAUGAGGAUAUGUGUGUGCAUUUAUCUUUAAUUUCUGUGAAUACGUACAUAGAAAACAAAGAC